CUGACGGUAGUCGUAUGCUCGUCUCCGAGACUAAGCCAUGCAAGUCCAAGUACACGUCCUUGAACGACGGAAACUGCGAACGGCUCAUUAAAUCAGUUGCGAUCUACUCGGCGUUCCGCGCCGCCGGAUAACCGUAGUAAUUCUAGGGCUAAUACGUGCGAAGCGCCCGAAGCCGCGAGGCGACGGGCGUUCUCGCCGGAUGUAGGAACCGACCCGGGGACCGCCGGGGCAACCCGGCGCCCCCGAGACGGGGCGAACCACGGUGAAAUGACGGAUCGUCGGCCCCGCGCCGGCGACUCGCCGAAUGAGUUUCUGACCUAUCAACUCGAGACGGCGGGGUAGAGGCCCGCCGCGGUAACGACGGGUAACGGGGAAUCAGGGUUCGAUUCCGGAGAGGGAGCCCGAGAAACGGCUACCACUUCCAAGGAAGGCAG
rnacentral:rRNA from 1 species